rnacentral:lncRNA from 12 species
GAAACUCAAGAAGAGAAGCUCUAGAGGACACAAGAUGUUUCUGAGCUGAGAACUCACCAGGCUACAUUGCAGGUCUCUGGUUACAUUAGGAUAGACCUCUGUAUGGCAUCAACAGAGAGUCUCUUGUUCAGUGAUCAAAACUACUGAGGGGAUCUUCUUAAGAUCACACAGCUGG